AUUGAACGCUGGCGGAAUGCUUUACACAUGCAAGUCGAACGGCAGCACGGGUGCUUGCACCUGGUGGCGAGUGGCGAACGGGUGAGUAAUGCACCGGAACGUAUCCAAUAAUGGGGGAUAACGCACCGAAAGGUGUGCUAAUACCGCAUACGCCCUGAGGGGGAAAGCGGGGGAUCGUAAGACCUCGCGUUAAUGGAGCGGCCGAUGCCGGAUUAGCUAGUUGGUGAGGUAAAGGCUCACCAAGGCGACGAUCCGUAGCUGGUCUGAGAGGACGACCAGCCACACUGGAACUGAGACACGGUCCAGACUCCUACGGGAGGCAGCAGUGGGGAAUUUUGGACAAUGGGCGCAAGCCUGAUCCAGCCAUGCCGCGUGAGUGAAGAAGGCCUCGG
rnacentral:rRNA from 1 species